UGGGGAAUAUUGCACAAUGGGCGCAAGCCUGAUGCAGCAACGCCGCGUGAACGAUGAAGGUCUUCGGAUCGUAAAGUUCUGUUGCAGGGGAAGAUAAUGACGGUACCCUGUGAGGAAGCCCCGGCUAACUACGUGCCAGCAGCCGCGGUAAUACGGAGGAUGCGAGCGUUAUCCGGAAUUAUUGGGUUUAAAGGGUGCGUAGGUUGCAAGGGAAGUCAGGGGUGAAAAGCUGUAGCUCAACUAUGGUCUUGCCUUUGAAACUCUCUAGCUAGAGUGUACUGGAGGUACGUGGAACGUGUGGUGUAGCGGUGAAAUGCAUAGAUAUCACACAGAACUCCGAUUGCGCAGGCAGCGUACUACAUUACAACUGACACUGAAGCACGAAAGCGUGGGUAUCAAACAGG
rnacentral:rRNA from 1 species